ensembl:misc_RNA Metazoa_SRP Metazoan signal recognition particle RNA
GCUGGGUGUGGUGGCGGGCGCCUGUAAUCCCAGCUACUCAGGAGGCUGAGGCAGGAGAAUCGUUUGAACCCAAGAGGCAGAGGUUGCAGUGAGCCAAGAUAGGGCCAUUGCACUCCAGCCUGGGUGACAAGGCGAGAUCCUGUCUCAA